UCCCAUACCGGAAGUUUACAAAAGAGGCUACUGCUUAAGUAUUGCCAGCCUCCCUCUCCCACGUGAGGCGCCUUUUGCGGGGCAAAACCGUGAGGGGCGGGGUGUUUACCGGGUCAAAGGCCCGGGCCCCGCUCCAGAGCGGACAAUACCUCACGAUUGGUGAGGGGCGAUGGGUUGGUACGACUUGGGUAGUAGUGCUCUAAC
rnacentral:lncRNA from 1 species